GACGAACGCUGGCGGCGUGCCUAACACAUGCAAGUCGAACGGGUGAGAGGAGCUUGCUCCUUGAUCUAGUGGCGAACGGGUGAGUAACGCGUGAGAAACCUGCCUCAUACAGGGGGAUAACAGUUAGAAAUGACUGCUAAUACCGCAUAAGCACACAGUACUGCAUGGUACAGUGUGAAAAACUCCGGUGGUAUGAGAUGGACCCGCGUCUGAUUAGCUAGUUGGUAAGGUAAUGGCUUACCAAGGCGACGAUCAGUAGCCGGCUUGAGAGGGUGAUCGGCCACAUUGGGACUGAGACACGGCCCAAACUCCUACGGGAGCAGCAGUGGGGAAUAUUGCACAAUGGGGGAAACCCUGAUGCAGCAACGCCGCGUGAAGGAUGAAGGUUUUCGGAUCGUAAAACUUCUAAUCAACAGGGAAGAAAC
rnacentral:rRNA from 1 species